rnacentral:rRNA from 1 species
UGUCUGAAAGCGUGCAGUCUGAGUUGAUUGAAUGCAAUCAGUUAAAACUUUCAACAAUGGAUCUCUUGGUUCCGGCAUCGAUGAAGAACGCAGCGAAAUGCGAUAACUAAUGUGAAUUGCAGAAUUCAGUGAAUCAUCGAGUCUUUGAACGCACAUUGCGCCCCCUGGUAUUCCGGGGGGCAUGCCUGUCCGAGCGUCAUUGCUGCCCUCAAGCCCGGCUUGUGUGUUGGGUCGCCGUCCCCCUCUCCGGGGGGACGGGCCCGAAAGGCAGCGGCGGCACCGCGUCCGAUCCUCGAGCGUAUGGGGCUUUGUCACAUGCUCUGUAGGAUUGGCCGGCGCCUGCCGACGUUUUCCAACCAUUCUUUCCAGGUUGACCUCGGAUCAGGUAGGGAUACCCGCUGAA